AUAUCAUUGUCAUAAAAGUGAUGAAAGGCUCCAGCUACAUUUUGGUUAAGUAAUUCUUUCUUCUGUGUGAUAAAAUUAUUAAUUGCCACAUUUUCAGAAUUAAAUAUUAUUAAUCCAGUUCUACAAUGAUAUUCCAUCUGCAAAGUUCAUAUCAACUUUGUUUUUAAUAUAUAUUAAUAUAAUAUAAAUCAAUUUUGACAAAACAAAUUUUAUCUGUAGGAAAAUUGCCUCUAAAAUAAUGCCAGGUAGCUGGAAAGAACCACAGAAGAAGGUAAUGUAAAUAUAAAUGUGUGUUGCUAGUAUAAGACAAAAAACACACACAGAUAUCUCCUUUACUAAUCACCUCUUCAUAUGAUCGAAUCUACACAAACAGACUGACAGCCUGGACUGCUCAGGGUAAGUGGAGGACACUCUGCCAGUAGUAAGAUGUAAAUGUUGAUUUAAAAUAAUAACUUGCUUUUUUAUUUAGUAUGCUCUCUACAUUGCCACUGGAAGAGCAUUUGAUUUCAGUCAGGAAGACAUGCCAAAAAUUAGAAGAUGGUGGUGUCAUCUCUUACUUCACAAAGCCAGCAUUAAAGCCAAGACUUCGGUCUUCACUUUCCACACGAGAAGAAGGACAUUCUGUGCCCCACGGGCAGUGCUUCGUAAUUAUCAGUUGAAAAGCUUUCUGACACUAAUUUUAUAUAUUAGAACUUCACAAAAAGACUUUGACCAACUGGUCACACAGCAGAUCUCCAGUGAGGCUGUCAGUAACUUGUGUCUCUCGUCAGCCCUGUGGUGUGUCAGUGCGUUAUGGGGGCAGAGAAUGGUGGUCUUAAAAAGGAGGGUUUUGUGUGCUUGUGCUCUAACUGAUUUAUUAAAUGGCAAUUAUUUCUGCUUCCAGCAAUUCCAGACAAGAUAGGAAAGAGCAAGGACUUUUCUCCCCACCCUUCUUUUCCAUUACUAAAGAAUAUGAAAAUCUUGACUGAAUUAUUUAUGCCAGUACAAUCAUAUUAAGCAUAUUUAUGGUUACAUUUAGUUAGCAAAUUGUACCUCACAAAGGCACAGUCCUGUCAGGUAUGUAGUGAAAUGACUCUUAUGGCACAGCCAAUGCCUUAAAGGUGAUGACUUUCUGUUUCCUUUUCAAUAUCAUUCAGAAAUCAACCAGUCUAGAAUGGAGUAAUUGUUUGCUUCAGGUAAACACUUUCCAUUAUGUAUAACUUUUUAGAUGUAGCAUUUCUAUUGUAAUAUGUUUGGGUGAAUGUUUCAGCAGUUUUUAAAGCAUGCUUACUAAACUGGGAACAAUUAAAUUACAUAUUAUUUGAAAUUAUGAUAUUUGAAAUGAUGAAUUUGGCCUUCACAAGUGACAAUGCUGUGCUAAUUGGACUCUUUGUCUUUCAGGGACUCACUUCAGUACAAUUCCAGUAGACGUUCAGAUUGAACUGAAAUGGGUCUUACAGCAAUGUAUUAGUAAAUAAAAUGAAUGCUUUUUUCACUACA